rnacentral:rRNA from 1 species
UAGUCCACGCCGUAAACGAUGGAUACUAGCUGUUCGACUUCGGUUGAGUGGCUAAGCGAAAGUGAUAAGUAUCCCACCUGGGGAGUACGUUCGCAAGAAUGAAACUCAAAGGAAUUGACGGGGGCCCGCACAAGCGGUGGAGCAUGUGGUUUAAUUCGAUGAUACGCGAGGAACCUUACCAGGGCUUAAAUGUAGAUUGCAUUAGGUGGAGACACUUAUUUCUUCGGACUAUCUACAAGGUGCUGCAUGGUUGUCGUCAGCUCGUGCCGUGAGGUGUCAGGUUAAGUCCUACAACGAGCGCAACCCCUGUUGUUAGUUGCCAGCGAGUAAUGUCGGGAACUCUAACAAGACUGCCAGUGCAAACUGUGAGGAAGGUGGGGAUGACGUCAAAUCAUCACGGCCCUUACGUCCUGGGCUACACACGUGCUACAAUGGUAGGGACAGAGAGCAGCCACUGGGCGACCAGGAGCGAAUCUUCAAACCCUAUCACAGUUCGGAUCGG